UACGGAAGGCAGCAGUGGGGAAUAUUGGACAAUGGGCGAAAGCCUGAUCCAGCCAUGCCGCAUGAGUGAAGAAGGCCUUCGGGUUGUAAAGCUCUUUUAGUGAGAAAGAUAAUGACGGUACUCACAGAAGAAGUCCUGGCUAACUCCGUGCCAGCAGCCGCGGUAAUACGGAGAGGGCUAGCGUUAUUCGGAAUUAUUGGGCGUAAAGAGCGCGUAGGCUGAUUAGUAAGUUAAAAGUGAAAUCCCAAAGCUUAACUUUGGAAUUGCUUUUUAAAACUGCUAGUCUAGAGAUUGAAAGAGGAUAGAGGAAUUCCUAGUGUAGAGGUGAAAUUCGUAAAUAUUAGGAGGAACACCAGUGGCGAAGGCGUCUAUCUGGUUCAAAUCUGACGCUGAGGCGCGAAGGCGUGGGGAGCGAAACAGGGAUUAGAUACCCGU
rnacentral:rRNA from 1 species